AUUGAACGCUGGCGGCAGGCCUAACACAUGCAAGUCGAGCGGAGCGGCGGAAGGGUGAGUAAUGCCUAGGAAUCUGCCUGGUAGUGGGGGAUAACGUCCGGAAACGGGCGCUACUACCGCAUACUAUCAGAUGAGCCUAGGUCGGAUUGGCUAGUUGGUGGGGUAAAGGCCUCCCAAGGCGACGAUCAGUAACUGGGCGGAGAGGAGGAUCAGUCACACUGGAACGGAGACACGGUCCAGACUCCUGCGGGAGGCAGCAGUGGGGAAUAUGGGACAAUGGGCGAAAGCCUGAUCCAGCCAUGCCGCGUGUGUGAAGAAGUUCUUCGGUUUGUAAAGCACUUUAAGUUGUGAGGCGUUACCAACAGAAUAAGCACCGGCUAACUUCGUGCCAGCAGCCGCGGUAAUAC
rnacentral:rRNA from 1 species